CCUACGGGAGGCAGCAGUGGGGAAUAUUGCACAAUGGGCGCAAGCCUGAUGCAGCCAUGCCGCGUGUGUGAAGAAGGCCUUCGGGUUGUAAAGCACUUUCAGCGGGGAGGAAGGCGUUAAGGUUAAUAACCUUGCCGAUUGACGUUACCCGCAGAAGAAGCACCGGCUAACUCCGUGCCAGCAGCCGCGGUAAUACGGAGGGUGCAAGCGUUAAUCGGAAUUACUGGGCGUAAAGCGCACGCAGGCGGUCUGUCAAGUCGGAUGUGAAAUCCCCGGGCUCAACCUGGGAACUGCAUUCGAAACUGGCAGGCUAGAGUCUUGUAGAGGGGGGUAGAAUUCCAGGUGUAGCGGUGAAAUGCGUAGAGAUCUGGAGGAAUACCGGUGGCGAAGGCGGCCCCCUGGACAAAGACUGACGCUCAGGUGCGAAAGCGUGGGGAGCAAACAGGAUUAGAUACCCUUGUAGUC
rnacentral:rRNA from 1 species